UGCAAGUUGAACGGCAGCACGGGGGCAACCCUGGUGGCGAGUGGCGAACGGGUGAGUAAUAUAUCGGAACGUACCCUAGAGUGGGGGAUAACGUAGCGAAAGUUACGCUAAUACCGCAUACGAUCUACGGAUGAAAGUGGGGGCUCGCAAGACCUCAUGCUCGUGGAGCGGCCGAUAUCUGAUUAGCUAGUUGGUGAGGUAAAGGCUCACCAAGGCGACGAUCAGUAGCUGGUCUGAGAGGACGACCAGCCACACUGGGACUGAGACACGGCCCAGACUCCUACGGGAGGCAGCAGUGGGGAAUUUUGGACAAUGGGGGCAACCCUGAUCCAGCAAUGCCGCGUGAGUGAAGAAGGCCUUCGGGUUGUAAAGCUCUUUUGUCAGGGAAGAAACGGUGAAGGCUAAUAUCCUUUGCUAAUGACGGUACCUGAAGAAUAAGCACCGGCUAA
rnacentral:rRNA from 1 species